CGAAGCUGGAAUCGCUAGUAAUCGCGGAUCAGAAUGCCGCGGUGAAUACGUUCCCGGGUCUUGUACACACCGCCCGUCACACCAUGGGAGUCAGCAACGCCCGAAGUCAGUGACCCAACCUUUUAGGAGGGAGCUGCCGAAGGCGGGGCAGGUGACUGGGGUGAAGUCGUAACAAGGUACC
rnacentral:rRNA from 1 species